AAGCUUUCCAAGUUCCCCUUUUAUUUUUUUCUCCCUCUGUUAUUUAUAAAGCCUCAAACCUCUAAUUAGUAUUUUGCUUUGAAAACCCUCACAAUUCUGGGGUAAAAUCAACCUCCUUCACACUUUUAGGAGGGCUGAUGUUCAGCUGGGAAUGGGUAAAAGAACUUUGAAAAGAAAUAAAACCCCAAACCAGUAGCAGCUCCGUCAAGCAGAUUACAGCAAAAAAAAUAAAAAAUAAAACUCUAUUGUGAGGCUGGUCCAACGUUAGGAUGCUGGGAUGCUGGUACUUAAAGUACCCAAGAAAUUGCUAUAUUGAAAAAAAAAGAAAAAAAAAAAAUUGUGAAUAAAGGAGAAGAGUUUGGCCCACUGCACAGGUCUGGGCACAAAAGUGCUUGCUAAGCUAUCUAUUUCACACAUGCAACGACAGAAGGUUCGAUAUUCAUUCGAUCGAUGACUGAAAAGGCACAAUGGCAAAAUCGGACGGACUUCUUUUCAAAUACAGAUCUCCGAUGUCCCCCUACAGUCUGCAGUCGCGCGGCUGGUGGUGUGGCACAGACGGAGCAAGGGUUACAUCAAGGCUGUUCUCUGGACCGUGCAAACAGUCUAGACCAAUGACCUGCAGCAUCAUGCCCUUUGAAGAAGAGGCAAGUUCGGUCACGACGAAGAAAAAUCAAGGCGUACCCCUUUUAACAAUAGGGAGCAGCUCGUGGCUGCAAAGAGGUGUCCAUCUGCAGUUCAGUUUUGCAGCGGAAUCAUUUGUAUCACUUCACUAACUGAGCAAGAGAAGCAAAUUUUGGGAGCAUGAUCGUUGUGAUACCCUCAGUGGUAAGUACCCAAACUGCAAUCAAGUUUAUUCCAUUUUUGUAGUGUAGAGGCCUUUUAGAGACCACACUUGCUGCAGCUUAGUCACACAACGGCUUCAAAUGUCGUUCUGGAAUAAUAGGGUAGUAAUAUGAUAUACUCUAUAAUGAAAAUCAGUGUAAAGCACAGGUGGUUGCUAAUAUUUGUGUGGUCAGAUAUAAAAGCUUCACUAUGGGCACAAGCUACUGCAUUCCCACUUGAGGAAAGUAUAAUUAAAAGUGGUUUCCAGAUGUGCUGACCCAUGUCUGCCAUUUCUAAAAGUGAAUUUAGCAAAUGCAAACUGGUCUACAUUGCAUUCAUCAUUAUGAAAAGUUGAUGGGUUUUCAGAUGAUAAAAAGGUUGGGAGCAUCAAUACCCUUGCUUUAAAACUGAGGUGUCUUUAAACAACAGAUGGUAGCAUUUUAUGUUCAUACUGUGUUCAUAGGGAUUUAUGUGAGUAGUUCAUAGCUAAUCUGUGGCAAACAUGCAAAAUCUAUCUAGACAAAAAAUAACAUUUAUUUCAUACAGAUGAGAGGUGGUUCAUUGCUGGCAAAUUGAUUUGCAACCAGAAAGUUACAGUAAGAUGGUACUGCCGUUGUUUUGUUUCUCGGUAAUGCAGUGAAAUAAAUAGCACCCUAAUGCAUUACGUUUUAGCUCC
rnacentral:lncRNA from 1 species